rnacentral:rRNA from 1 species
CCUACGGGAGGCUGCAGUGGGGAAUCUUGGACAAUGGGCGCAAGCCUGAUCCAGCCAUGCCGCGUGAGUGAUGAAGGCCUUAGGGUUGUAAAACUCUUUCGCCGAGGACGAUAAUGACGGUACUCGGAGAAGAAGCUCCGGCUAACUUCGUGCCAGCAGCCGCGGUAAUACGAAGGGGGCUAGCGUUGUUCGGAUUUACUGGGCGUAAAGCGCGUGUAGGCGGACUUGUAAGUUGGGGGUGAAAUCCCGAGGCUCAACCUCGGAACUGCCUCCAAAACUACAAGUCUGGAGCAAGAUAGAGGCAAGUGGAAUUGCGAGUGUAGAGGUGAAAUUCGUAGAUAUUCGCAGGAACACCAGUGGCGAAGGCGACUUGCUGGAUCUUUGCUGACGCUGAGACGCGAAAGCGUGGGGAGCAAACAGGAUUAGAUACCCCUGUAGUC